AUACGGAGGGUGCAAGCGUUAAUCGGAAUCACUGGGCGUAAAGCGCACGUAGGCUGUUUUGGUAAGUCAAGGGGUGAAAUCCCGCAGCUCAACUGCGGAAUUGCCCUUGAUACUGCUGGACUUGAGUUCGGGAGAGGGUGGCGGAAUUCCAGGUGUAGGAGUGAAAUCCGUAGAUAUCUGGAGGAACAUCAGUGGCGAAGGCGGCCACCUGGACCGAUACUGACGCUGAGGUGCGAAAGCGUGGGGAGC
rnacentral:rRNA from 1 species